UGAAACAAUACAAAACUAUAAGAAGCCAAAGU
rnacentral:piRNA from 1 species